AUAUAAGGCGUCUAAAAGUAACAAUAAUAAAAGCAGUAAUAAGAGACAUCUAGGAGUAUCAGAGCAUAAUAAAUGUCUAAAUGCUACAACAAGGAAUAAGGAUAAAACUGUAAAUCCACUAAAUAAGACAUAAAGUAAGUACAAUAGGGAUCCCAAAUACAAGUGCUAUAAGUGGGUACACAGGUGGUCUCUAUACAUGGAUACAAAAGCCUCACACUCUCUCAAAAUAUAAAAUGGAGAAGAAGCAACCACCUAGCGCAAAAGAAACUCUCCCGGGCUAGCUACGCGACACCCUUGCCGCGAUCCCGUGCCUCCGCCGGUGCCGAAGGCUCUGAAAAGGAAACAUAGAAACAGGGGCAUGAGAACUAUUAAGAAUAGUUCCCAGUGGGCAAUUACUGACUUCAGUGAAUGCACCACAAGGCCCAAAGCUACAANNN
rnacentral:lncRNA from 1 species